rnacentral:tRNA from 1 species
GCGGGUGUAACUCAGCGGCAGAGUAUCACGUUGCCAACGUGAAGGUCGUGGGAUCGUACCCCACCACCCGCUCCA